UAUCCUUCCAGGGCUUGAUUCUGGUUCAGACAGAAUAACUCAUGGGGAUGUGAACCUGGGGAAAAGAUGAAAUGACUUGAUCAUUUCAGUGGGGCAAAUGGAAGUCCAGCUGAUAUUAAGCAUUGUUACCUUCGGGGUGGGGGAUGGACGGGAUGGAGAAGAAAGGAUCAUUUCAAAUGUAGAUGAAGACAACUGGUGAUUAAUGUCAUUUGGACAGUUUUGGGAUCAGGUUCAGAGGGUAUGUGUGAAAAGGUGUAAGUUGUGCUUUGGUACCUGGGUGUAUGAGAACUAUGGGAAUCUAAACGGAUAUAAUCUCCAUGUCAAGGAUCUGGAAGAGAGGGGUCUAGAAGGAAAAACAAGUCACCCUUAAGAGGGUAAGAAGAUCUAAGUUAGAGUAAGACCACUACUUUGUUAAACCGCCUUCAAAUCUUCUUGAAUAGUGCACUUCUAGUCUCUGCAAUCAACAUGGCAAAUAAAGGAUUUAGACCUGGAAGUUAUAAAAUGGUGCAAAACCCUGAAGCCCUCUAGUCCAUCAUCCAGCUUUUGCAAGACUUUUUCUUGUGUGCAAAAGUGUUGUCCAGCUAUGGUAUUUAAAGUCAAGUAAAGCCCUGCCUUUGCCUUAAA